rnacentral:lncRNA from 1 species
CCAGGGGAACCAACUGUGAAUAGAAGGUUGGAACUUUCAGUCCCACCCCUCUGACUUCCAGGGAGGAGCCGCCAGCUGCCAAUGAUUUAAUCAAUCAUGCCUUCAUAAGGAAGCCUUCCUAAAAACCCAGGAGAGGAUUCGGAGAGCUUCCAGGUUGACGAGCACGUGGAGAUUUGGGGCAAGUAGUGUCUGGAGAAGGCAUGGAAGCUCUGAACACUUCCCACAUACCUUGCCCUAUGCAUCUCUUCCAUCUGGCUGUUCCCGCAUUACAGCCUUUUGUGAUAAGCCAGUGAUCUAAUGAGGAACAGAAGCCCAGAGAGGGCAAACAUGUUGCUUAAAGUCUCACAGUUUGCCAGCAGCACAGACAAAUACACUUUCUACUCCACCCUUCUGUCUUUGCACUGUCUUCACGCAGAAUGCCUGGUCUAAAGACAGCUUCACAAUCUGCAGCAUAGAGCAGAUGACUGAGUUGCCAGAAGACCUGACCAUUGGAAAAGUGAGAACGUUAAUGGAGAGAGAAAAACUAAUACAUGGAAAUUCUUUCCCCAUUCAAAUUGGCACAUGUCUUUCUUUCUAGGAAAGUCUAUGGGGCUCACCUUUUUUAUGAAGUUAAAGUCUGUGGAAAUACGAUCAAAGACAAGAAGUUACAGUUUCAAAGCGCCACCAAUUUCAAAUUCCACAGACAUGUACGCAGGCCCCUCUGGAGAAUGUUGCCAUCUCAUGUUAUAUGCGAGUCUGGGAAAAUUACUAUACUCCCACACUGUAUACUUUGAAUAAAGAUUUGUAUUCCUUAUGCAAAAAUAUACAAAUAUGGAAUAUAUUGGAGACACAAUAUCAUUAGCUUUCAGGGGGGAAGAAUCAUUUAUUGCCUACUUUUGGGGAUUUUAUUUAAAGCACACUGUUCUUUACACAGUACUUUACAGUUUAUAAAGCCUUUUUACAAUUGGUAUUUCAUUUGCUCUUCCCAACCUCGUGUAAAGAAAUGUGGGGCAAAUAUUGCUACCCCAUUUUACAAGCAAGCAAAUGGAGAUAGCUGGAGACCAUCUGUGCUUCUCCUAAUAUGGUGAUCCUGCUGUCCCACAUUGCUACGUGCAUAAGGCCAUCCUGCAGUAUUGAGUGGCAAUCUGAGAGCAAAAUAAAAAUGGAAGUAAAUUCAUUUUCCUUGUCUGUUCUGGAACCUCACAAUUACACUCUUUGCUCAGGGCAUAAUUAAAAAGACAAACCUGUGUCUGAACUAUUCUUCCAGUAUAUACUCUGCACUGAAAUAUCUUUAGAAUAAAGUCAAUAAAUAAAAGAAGUUAAACCAUGCUUCUCUGGUAGGUGAGGAGGUGGGGGGCUCUGGGCCUACCUGCUCAUCUCUCCUCUCCCCUUCCUGGCCCCCUCACAUUCUUCCUCUUCUGCUCACCUUUGAAGCACAGUUCGAGAAUCACUCUCUUCAAAAGUAGAUUCCGUGUGUCCUUGGAAAUGUCUAAAUUGAGGCUCUAUUGUAAUAAGUCACAACCUGUUACUGGGAUUCAAAGAGAAAAUGAAUUCAAGUGAGUGAGAACAAAGUCAUUUGCCCAGGAACCCACUGUGAAGGAUGGAGAGCAUUAAAAUUCAAAAAUGAUUUGCAAGUUAAAAAUUCACUCCUGAGCUAAAAUAGGGCAUCUGUUUAAGUCUUUCUCAACUGCUGCUUAUUCUGUCAAUAAGGUUCACUUUUUUUUUUUUGCGUGUUAUCUUUAUAUACUUCUGUGUG